rnacentral:rRNA from 1 species
ACGGAAGGCAGCAGUGGGGAAUAUUGCACAAUGGGGGAAACCCUGAUGCAGCGACGCCGCGUGAGUGAAGAAGUUAUUCGUAAUGUAAAGCUCUAUCAGCAGGGAAGAAAAUGACGGUACCUGACUAAGAAGCCCCGGCUAACUACGUGCCAGCAGCCGCGGUAAUACGUAGGGGGCAAGCGUUAUCCGGAUUUACUGGGUGUAAAGGGAGCGUAGACGGCUUUGCAAGUCUGAAGUGAAAGCCCGGGGCUCAACCCCGGAACUGCUUUGGAAACUGUAGAGCUAGAGUGCAGGAGAGGUAAGUGGAAUUCCUAGUGUAGCGGUGAAAUGCGUAGAUAUUAGGAGGAACACCAGUGGCGAAGGCGGCUUACUGGACUGUAACUGACGUUGAGGCUCGAAGGCGUGGGGAGCAAACAGGAUUAGAUACCCUGGUA